rnacentral:rRNA from 1 species
CACGUGUUACAAUGGCAGGUACAGAGGGAUGCUACCGGGCGACCGGAUGCGGAUCUCGAAAGCCUGUCCCAGUUCGGACUGGAGUCUGCAACCCGACUCCACGAAGUUGGAUUCGCUAGUAAUCGCGCAUCAGCCAUGGCGCGGUGAAUACGUUCCCGGGCCUUGUACACACCGCCCGUCAAGCCAUGGGAGCCGGGGGCGCCUGAAGUCCGGGACCGCGAGGACCGGCCUAGGGCGAAACUGGUAACUGGGGCUAAGUCGUAACAAGGUAAC